rnacentral:misc_RNA from 1 species
GAUGAAGAACGUAGCGAAAUGCGAUAAGUAAUGUGAAUUGCAGAAUUCAGUGAAUCAUCGAAUCUUUGAACGCACAUUGCGCCCGCUAGUAUUCUGGCGGGCAUGCCUGUUCGAGCGUCAUUUCAACCCUCAGGCCCCCGGGCCUGGCGUUGGGGAUCGGCGGAGCCCCCCGUGGGCACACGCCGUCCCCCAAAUACAGUGGCGGUCCCGCCGCAGCUUCCAUCGCGUAGUAGCUAACACCUCGCGACUGGAGAGCGGCGCGGCCACGCCGUAAAACACCCAACUCUUCUGAAGUUGACCUCGAAUCAGGUAGGAAUACCCGCUGAACUUAAGCAUAUCAAUAAGCGGAGGA